rnacentral:rRNA from 1 species
UACGAAGGGGGCUAGCGUUGCUCGGAAUUACUGGGCGUAAAGGGCUCGUAGGCGGCCAACUAAGUCAGACGUGAAAUCCCUCGGCUUAACCAGGGAACUGCAUCUGAUACUGGAUGGCUUGAGUUCGGGAGAGGGAUGCGGAAUUCCAGGUGUAGCGGUGAAAUGCGUAGAUAUCUGGAGGAACACCGGUGGCGAAGGCGGCAUCCUGGACCGACACUGACGCUGAGGAGCGAAAGCCAGGGGAGCAAACGGG